AUAGAAGAUUAUUAUUCAUGCCCACUGCUGAAACCUAACCCCUGCACCAAAACAAACACAGUGAGGGGAUUUAAACACUGUAGUCCAACCUUUACUUAUCCUACUGUUUCACUCAAUGUAUUAUCGCCCUGGUGCCUAGGAAUGUAUUGCUCUCAAUGUACUGCCUCAUUUCGGGGGGGGGGUGUAUUUAUUCAUUCAUUGAUUGACCGAUUCAUUAAUUGAUUAAUUACAAUAUACACUUGUUCGUAUUUAUUUUCUUCUCCUCUGACCUGGGUACAGCACCCUCCUAUCCAUUAUAUUUGGACUAGAGACAGUGUCAAGAUCCUGAGAUGGAACAAUGGUUUACUGUUGAUUGAUGGAACAAUAGUUUACUGUUGAUUGAUUGAACAAUGGUUUACUGUUGAUUGAUGGAACAAUGGUUUACUGUUGAUUGAUGGAACAAUAGUUUACUGUUGAUUGAUUGAACAAUGGUUUACUGUUGAUUGAUGGAACAAUGGUUUACUGUUGAUUGAUGGAACAAUAGUUUACUGUUGAUUGAUUGAACAAUGGUUUACUGUUGAUUGAUGGAACAAUGGUUUACUGUUGAUUGAUGGAACAAUGGUUUACUGUUGAUUGAUGGAACAAUAGUUUACUGUUGAUUGAUUGAACAAUGGUUUACUGUUGAUUGAUGGAACAAUGGUUUACUGUUGAUUGAUGGAACAAUGGUUUACUGUUGAUUGAUGGAACAAUAGUUUACUGUUGAUUGAUUGAACAAUGGUUUACUGUUGAUUGAUUGAACAAUGGUUUACUGUUGAUUGAUGGAACAAUGGUUUACUGUUGAUUGAUGGAACAAUGGUUUACUGUUGAUUGAUGGAACAAUGGUUUACUGUUGAUUGAUGGAACAAUGGUUUACUGUUGAUUGAUUGAAAAAUAGUUUACUGUUGAUUGAUGGAACAAUGGUUUACUGUUGAUUGGUGGAAAAAUAGUUUACUGUUGAUUGAUUGAACAAUGGUUUACUGUUGAUUGAUUGAACAAUAGUUUACGGUUGAUUGAACAAUGGUUUACUGUUGAUUGAUUGAACAAUGGUUUACUGUUGAUUGAACAAUAGUUUACGGUUGAUUGAACAAUGCAACCGUCGGAUGAGGGACGAGCCUCGCGUAGAAGUGACCUCGCGUAGAUGUAAGACAAUGGUACAACUCUGACGCAGCAGACCAUAGGUCAGGACCCGGUUAGUUACGGUAACUCAGAGCAGACCAUAGGUCAGGACCCGGUUAGUUACGGUAACUCAGAGCAGACCAUAGGUCAGGACCCGGUUAGUUACGGUAAGGCAGAGCAGACCAUAGGUCAGGACCAGGUUAGUUACGGUAAGGCAGAGCAGACCAUAGGUCAGGACCCGGUUAGUUACGGUAACUCAGAGCAGACCAUAGGUCAGGACCUGGUUAGUUACGGUAAGGCAGAGCAGACCAUAGGUCAGGACCCGGUUAGUUACGGUAAGGCAGAGCAGACCAUAGGUCAGGACCCGGUUAGUUACGGUAACUCAGAGCAGACCAUAGGUCAGGACCCGGUUAGUUACAGUAACUCAGAGCAGACCAUAGGUCAGGACCCGGUUAGUUACGGUAACUCAGAGCAGACCAUAGGUCAGGACCCAGUUAGUUACGGUAACUCAGAGCAGACCAUAGGUCAGGACCCGGUUAGUUACGGUAAGGCAGAGCAGACCAUAGGUCAGGACCCGGUUAGUUACGGUAAGGCAGAGCAGACCAUAGGUCAGGACCCGGUUAGUUACGGUAACUCAGAGCAGACCAUAGGUCAGGACCCGGUUAGUUACGGUAAGGCAGAGCAGACCAUAGGUCAGGACCCGGUUAGUUACGUAACUCAGAGCAGACCAUAGGUCAGGACCCGGUUAGUUACGGUAACUCAGAGCAGACCAUAGGUCAGAGCCCGGUUAGUUACGGUAAGGCAGAGCAGACCAUAGGUCAGGACCCGGUUACUUACGGUAACUGAGAGAUGGCUCUCCAUUCACACUGUAUAGAGAUCUAGCAUGUCUGUCCUAAACGAUCAAUAAAGAUGUCUUACUAUCAAAACCA